rnacentral:rRNA from 1 species
GAACUGUGCGAACGUUAUUCGGAAUCACUGGGCUUACAGGGUGCGUAGGCGGCUAUUCAGGUCAGGUGUGAAAGCCCUCGGCUCAACCGAGGAACUGCGCUUGAAACCGGAUGGCUCGAGUCAACUAGAGGUGCACGGAACUUCCAGUGGAGCGGUGAAAUGUGUUGAUAUUGGAAGGAACACCGGAGGCGAAAGCGGUGCACUGGGGUUGGUCUGACGCUGAGGCACGAAAGCCAGGGGAGCGAACGGGAUUAGAUACCCCGGUAGUCCUGGCCGUAAACGAUGAGUGCUGGACGGGAGGGGGUUCGCCCUUUCCGGUCGGAGCGAAAGCGGGAAGCACUCCGCCUGGGGAGUAUGGUCGCAAGGCUG